UGAAAUAAAAAAAUCAUUCCUCGUAUAUAUCUUGAAUAUGGCAAGAAGUCUCUACCAGAAACCGAUAAUUUCUGACUACGGGCGAAGGUGCAAAGACG
rnacentral:ncRNA from 1 species